rnacentral:rRNA from 1 species
GACGGAGGAUGCAAGCGUUAUCCGGAAUGAUUGGGCGUAAAGCGUCCGCAGGUGGCAGUUCAAGUCUGCUGUCAAAGACCGGGGCUUAACUUCGGAAAGGCAGUGGAAACUGAACAGCUAGAGUAUGGUAGGGGCAGAGGGAAUUCCUGGUGUAGCGGUGAAAUGCGUAGAGAUCAGGAAGAACAUCGGUGGCGAAGGCAGCUCGCUGGGACGGUACUGACGCUGAGACGCGAAAGCGUGGGGAGCAAACAGG